rnacentral:lncRNA from 1 species
CCUAAAGAUGACACCAACAAACUCCCCUAAAAGAAUGGGCAUAAUGGAAACAGGUUGUCUUUGUCCCUUUUCCCGCAUGGUGUUCCCUCUGGUUUCUGUUAUGUGUUUUCCCUCUCUUUCUUCCCUGUAACAAUCACUCUCUCUCUCUCUUAGAACCUGUUUCUGCUGUGAGACUGGUGGCCAACAACUUUUGGAAUUCAAAAGCUCUGUCAGUCUGUUUUGAUCUUUCUCUGGCUCCUCCCUCUCUUACCGCUGGCUGAAUGGCAACUCCGAAGUCACAGCCAGUAAUGGAAUUCAGCUUAGUGAUGGGAACAGUACUCUCACCAUAGUCAGUGUGACUCGAUACAACGAUGGGCCGUUUAGCUGUAAUGCUUUCAACACCGCCAGUACUGGAACCACUGAGCCUCUACAUCUCAGUAUCAGCUGUCUACUCUGACCAUGUCCCGCUCUGCCCAGUCCAACCCUCAGGCUGAGUUUCAAUGGGCUUUCAAUGGGAACCAUCUGAAUGGUACAAAUCCAGAUCUGAAGCUAUACAGUGCUGUGGAGAGCCAGAGUGGCCUAAGCUCCUGCCUGGCUUUCAACAACAGAACCAUGAGCUACAGCAACAUCACCAGACAGAUCACCAUCAGCUGUGGGUCAGUGUCAGUACAGCUGGGGAUUUCUGGACCUGUCAUCCUGAGAAGGAACAUUUCUGCUGUAAUUGCAUCCUGAUACAGAAUAUAUCUCUCAUUCCACUAUCAUGCUGUCGAUGGAAUUAUUUCUCAGAACAUUUUAGCAAAACAUCUUUCAUUGUCUUUUUUCAUUAUUGAAGAUUUAUUCUUCCAGAUUAGUAUCACAAUGAAGAAUCAUAUAUGAAGAAUCAUAUAUCAUGUACAGUAUUUCAACACCUCUCAGUACUGUAAUUUGCUCAAGACCUGGUGGAAUAACCAAAGUAUAUCAAGCAUUCUUGUUGGAAUAUGACUUUGAUUUGAAUAUAAAGUUCUUAAUUGUUUUGAUAAAGUUGUUUUAAACAAACUAUUAUUUUCAAUAAAUCUGAAUGUUCAAUAAUGGUACACAGUGCAUUCAUUCAACAUGUUCUACAGUAUAUGGAAGGAAAAGGUAUGUGAUGAUUUAAUAGAACAAUACUAACACAUCACUCCUACUCCUUAUUGUUUUGUGCUGACUGAAAACAAGUCAUAAAGCAUGCCUCAUUUGAGACAGUAUAGAUUAUGAUAAAAUAAGUUCCAAGCAUCACACACUUCAAACCCUUAACCAUAGAUAUAAAGCAGUGUUCUAUAUGCCCUUGACCCUGUUCAGUGUUUACAUCUGUCAGCGUGUUGGUGACAUUCAUAAGGAAUGACUCUUCACAACAACACUGCAUGUGAGCUGAAUCUUCUG